GAUGAACGCUGGCGGCGUGCCUAAUACAUGCCAGUCGAGCGAACAGACGAGGAGCUUGCUCCUCUGACGUUAGCGGCGGACGGGUGAGUAACACGUGGAUAACCUACCUAUAAGACUGGGAUAACUUCGGGAAACCGGAGCUAAUACCGGAUAAUAUAUUGAACCGCAUGGUUCAAUAGUGAAAGACGGUUUUGCUGUCACUUAUAGAUGGAUCCGCGCCGCAUUAGCUAGUUGGUAAGGUAACGGCUUACCAAGGCAACGAUGCGUAGCCGACCUGAGAGGGUGAUCGGCCACACUGGAACUGAAACACGGUCCAGACUCCUACGGGAGGCAGCAGUAGGGAAUCUUCCGCAAUGGGCGAAAACCUGACGGAGCAACGCCGCGUGAGUGAUGAAGGUCUUCGGAUCGUAAAACUCUGUUAUUAGGGAAGAACAAAUGUGUAAGUAACUAUGCACGUCUUGACGGUACCUAAUCAGAAAGCCACGGCUAACUACGUG
rnacentral:rRNA from 1 species